UGGGGAAUCUUGGGCAAUGGCCGAAAGGCUGACCCAGCGACGCCGCGUGUGGGAGGAAGCCCUUCGGGGUGUAAACCACUGUCACCAGGGACGAAACUCCCGUGCUCGAACAGGGCAUGGGCCUGACGGUACCUGGAGAGGAAGCGCCGGCUAACUCUGUGCCAGCAGCCGCGGUAAGACAGAGGGCGCAAGCGUUGUUCGGAAUUACUGGGCGUAAAGCGCGCGCAGGCGGGUCUUCAAGUCGGAAGUGAAAUUCCGGGGCUCAACUCCGGAGCUGCUCCCGAUACUGUGGAUCUCGAGACCGGUAGAGGCCGGUGGAAUUCCCGGUGUAGCGGUGGAAUGCGUAGAGAUCGGGAAGAACACCAGUGGCGAAGGCGGCCGGCUGGGCCGGUUCUGACGCUGAGGCGCGAAAGCGUGGGGAGCAAACAGG
rnacentral:rRNA from 1 species